rnacentral:rRNA from 1 species
AAUGAACGUUGGCGGCUUGGAUUAGGCAUGCAAGUCGGGGGAAUCCCAGCAAUGGGGGAACCGGCGUAAGGGGCAGUAAGGCAUGGGUACCUACCUUGGGGUUCGGGAUAGCCAUCAGAGAUGGUGGGUAAUACCGGAUGACGUCGUGAGACCAAAGAUUUAUCGCCCUUAGAGGGGCCCAUGUGAUAUUAGCUAGUUGGUGGGGUAACGGCCCACCAAGGCGAAGAUGUCUAGCGGGUGUGAGAGCACGACCCGCGCCACGCGCACUGAGACACUGGCGAGACACCUACGGGUGGCUGCAGUCGAGGAUCUUCGGCAAUGAGCGCAGGCUUGACCGAGCGACGCCGCGUGAGCGAUGAAGGCCUUCGGGUUGUAAAGCUCUUUAGUGGGGGAGAAAAGCCGCAAGGUGUGAUCUAUCCCAAAAAUAAGCACGGGCUAAGUUCGUGCCAGCCGCCGCCGUAA